UGGGGAAUUUUGGACAAUGGGGGAAACCCUGAUCCAGCCAUCCCGCGUGUGCGAUGAAGGCCUUCGGGUUGUAAAGCACUUUUGGCAGGAAAGAAACGUCAUGGGUUAAUACCCCGUGAAACUGACGGUACCUGCAGAAUAAGCACCGGCUAACUACGUGCCAGCAGCCGCGGUAAUACGUAGGGUGCAAGCGUUAAUCGGAAUUACUGGGCGUAAAGCGUGCGCAGGCGGUUCGGAAAGAAAGAUGUGAAAUCCCAGAGCUUAACUUUGGAACUGCAUUUUUAACUACCGGGCUAGAGUGUGUCAGAGGGAGGUGGAAUUCCGCGUGUAGCAGUGAAAUGUGUAGAUAUGCGGAGGAACACCGAUGGCGAAGGCAGCCUCCUGGGAUAACACUGACGCUCAUGCACGAAAGCGUGGGGAGCAAACA
rnacentral:rRNA from 1 species